rnacentral:rRNA from 1 species
GACGAACCGUGCGAACGUUGUUCGGAAUCACUGGGCUUAAAGGGCGCGUAGGCGGGUCAGCAAGUCCGGGGUGAAAUCUUUCGGCUCAACCGGAAAAGUGCCUUGGAUACUGCUGGUCUCGAGGGAGGUAGGGGUCUGUGGAACUUCUGGUGGAGCGGUGAAAUGCGUUGAUAUCAGAAGGAACGCCGGUGGCGAAAGCGACGGACUGGACCUCUUCUGACGCUGAGGCGCGAAAGCUAGGGGAGCAAACGGG